rnacentral:tmRNA from 1 species
GGGGGUGUUUCUGGCUUCGACGCUGGUGAUGAAACUCAUAGAUGCAUGCCGAGAGCGCAUUUUCUCUCGUAAAUCAAAUUUGCAUUUUAUAGUCGCAAACGACGAAACUUACGCUCUAGCUGCCUAAGGGCAGCUUGUCCGCCUCUCCGAAUACUUGUGGUUAGAGAGUCCGACUGAAGCGCACGCACACAAGUCCGUAUAAA